ensembl:piRNA 21ur-11379 ncRNA
UUUAAUCAAUCCGAUGAUCUU